GGCGACGACGGGUAGCCGACCUGAGAGGGUGACCGGCCACACUGGGACUGAGACACGGCCCAGACUCCUACGGGAGGCAGCAGUGGGGAAUAUUGCACAAUGGGCGAAAGCCUGAUGCAGCGACGCCGCGUGAGGGAUGACGGCCUUCGGGUUGUAAACCUCUUUCAGCAGGGACGAAGCGCAAGUGACGGUACCUGCAGAAGAAGCACCGGCUAACUACGUGCCAGCAGCCGCGGUAAUACGUAGGGUGCAAGCGUUGUCCGGAAUUACUGGGCGUAAAGAGUUCGUAGGCGGUUUGUCGCGUCGUUUGUGAAAACCAGCAGCUCAACUGCUGGCUUGCAGGCGAUACGGGCAGACUUGAGUACUGCAGGGGAGACUGGAAUUCCUGGUGUAGCGGUGAAAUGCGCAGAUAUCAGGAGGAACACCGGUGGCGAAGGCGGGUCUCUGGGCAGUAACUGACGCUGAGGAACGAAAGCGUGGGUAGCGAACAGGAUUAGAUACCCUGGUAGUCCACGCCGUAAACGGUGGGCGCUAGGUGUGGGUUCCUUCCACGGAAUCCGUGCCGUAGCUAACGCAUUAAGCGCCCCGCUGGGGAAGUACGGA
rnacentral:rRNA from 1 species